rnacentral:lncRNA from 1 species
UUUUUUGCUUCUACCCUGCAAUUUGAAAUACCUACAGGGCCUAAUCCACAUACAUAGAUCAUCAUCAAAUCCACACAUAUAACUUUAAAUCCACACACACAUAUAUAUAUAACUUCAAAUCCGCAUAUAUAACAUCAAACCCACAUAUAUAACAUCAAAUCCAUUGCAUAGUCCAAACGAAGUUCAUAGUCACAUCCAACACAAGCACAACAAGAUCAGUCAUAUCCAAACACGAGCGCGACAAGUUAAGUCAUAUCCAACACGAGCACAACAAGUUCAGUCAUAUCCAGCAAGAUAACCGAAAUUAAAUCUACAGUUAUCAUGCUCCAUCAUCAGGCUCAUGUGCUGCUGCUGUUGCUGCUGCUCGUCCUCCUACUCCAUCUGCAAGGAUAAGAGCAAGUUGUUUGAAUGGCAUGCACAUGAUAAAACUGCAAGGCUAUAUGCAUGUAUUCAUCUACAUUAAUUAAAUCUACAGUACAGUACAGAUGAUACAUGGAAGAGUUUCACUUCAAAUGAUUGCUUGCGCGUACAGUACCACUUAUGAUCCAGGUUUAAUAUGGAAAAUAAAAAACUACAGUUUUCAUCAGUUUCAGAUCAAGCUUUUGCCAUAGAAAAUUGACAUAUUUUCUGCAUCAAAGUUGAUCCACGAAGAAGAGGAGCGCUAACAAAUAGUGUCCAGCCAGUAGAAUGUUUAAGUGAUAUUAACAGUUAGCUAGAUUGGUGCAAACUGAGAUACCAGUCAGUAGCAAAAUAAAAACCUUAGCUAUUACGUGACCAUCAACCACACACUCACAUCAUGCGGAGACCUGUAGGCCCUACAGGGCCUAAUCAUGGAGGGACGUGACCAUCAACCACACACCCAAGUAUCCUACGCAAAGGAACUAUAGAGCACAACUAAAUGGCAGAGAGCACAAACUUAACAAAUCUACACAAGUAAUAAAAGAUACUGAGAUAAAAGGGUACUCCCAGAUCUAUUCAUGAAACCAAUGGUUCAAUACAGAAGCACCAGCAAGAAAACAAUGCUCUGCAAUGAUGCUUUAACUCCAUCCACUAAUAUAACAUAUCACACACUUGACAAAAAUUUCAGCAAAGACAUGGUCUGCACCUUGAGACCUGCUGCUACAGGUGUUGGUCUUGAAUUUUUACCACAGCACAGCACAGGUGUCGUCAGCGGAGAGGAUGGUCUUCUUCUCCGUGCAUAUCUGUGCGUGUGCGAGCGGUAAACGUCUUGCUCUGUUGGGAGCGACGUGUUUCAUGUUAUAUAGUAGGGAGCCAAAACCCUAGAUGGCAUACAACAUGCGGUUACAAGAGAUAAGACUUGGGAGAGAAGAAAGGAGAAGAUGGUUACAUGAAUAUCUCAUACAAACUACCUCCUAGUCUAUAUCUCUAUCAUAUCUCGUGAUAAACAUGGCCCGGCCCGCAUAUGUAUAAUGUGUUUGACACUCCCCCUUAAUCACAACUUCAUCAGGUUGAGAUUAUGCUUAAAUUCUUUAAAGUUUCUGAUAGGCAGGGCUUUAGUAAACCCAUCUGCAACUUGAUCUCUGGAAUGAAUGAACCGAAUAUCAAGCUGUUUCCGUGCAACUCUUUCUCUGACAAAGUGAAAAUCUAUCUCUAUGUGCUUUGUUCUGACAUGAAAAACUGGAUUUGCAGACAAGUAGGUAGCACCAAGAUUAUCACACCACAAACAUGGAGCUUGAGAACUAUGUAUACCAAGUUCUUUGAACAUUGAUUGAACCCAUAUGAUUUCAGCUGUAGCAUUAGCUAAUACUUUGUACUCUGCUUCUGUGCUAGAUUGAGACACAGUGGCUUGUUUUCUUGCACACCAUGAAAUCAAGUUAGGUCCAAAGAAUAUGGCAAAUCCACCAGUGGAGCGCCUGUCAUCUAGACAGCAUGUCCAGUCAGAAUCAGGGAAAGCACUAACCAGAGUUGAGGGUGACUUGCUGAAAUUAAGGCCAAUGCUCAAGGUGUGUUUAACAUAUCUAACAAUGCGUUUUGCAGCAGUCCAAUGCACAGUGGUAGGAGCAUGCAGAAACUGACAUACCUUGUUAACAGCAAAGGAGAUAUCAGGCCUUGUUAGGGUCAAGUACUGUAGUGCACCUACUAAACUCUUGUACUUUGUACUGUCCUCUUGAUUCAAGAGUUGCCCUUCUGUGAGAGAUAGCUUUUUUGAGCUGGAUAAUGGAGUGAAGGAGGGUUUACAACCUUGCAGUCCUGCCUUUCUGACCAGAUCAGUAGCAUACUUCUCUUGAGAGAGAUGAAGUCCUUCCUUGUGUUUCUUCACUUCAAUCCCAAGGAAAAAAUGCAAAUCUCCAAGAUCCUUGAGAGCAAAUUCUACACUUAAAUCCUUCAACAAUGAUGCAAUGGCCUCACUAGAUGUACUUGUAACAAUAAUGUCAUCAACAUAGAUGAGAACAAAUAUGCAAGUAUUGAGGUUAUUGUAAAUGAACAGUGAGGUAUCUGACUUGGAAGGAACAAAACCAAGUGAUUGCAUCUUGUGACUAAGACGGGAGUACCACGCCCUUGGAGCUUGCUUCAAGCCAUAGAGUGCUUUAUCAAGUUUGCACACAAAUGAAGGAUUAGAUUUGCUCUCAAACCCAGGAGGUUGUUUCAUAUACACCUCUUCUUCCAGAACACCAUGAAGGAACGCGUUCUGUAUAUCUAGCUGUCUGAGACUCCAUCCUCUAGAGACAGCAAUAGACAGAACAAGGCAAAUGGUGGCAGCUUUUACAACUGGACAAAAUGUAUCCUCAUAAUCAAUACCAUAUCUCUGUUUAAAGCCUUUUGCAACAAGCCUAGCCUUGUAUCUAUCAAUAGUUCCAUCAGAUUUUCUCUUAACUCUGAACACCCACUUGCAAUCUAUAAGAUUUUUACCUUGCCGUGGGGGAACCAAAUGCCAUGUUUUAUUUUUUUUCAGUGCCACAUAUUCUUCCAUCAUUGACUGCACUGCUGAAUCAGCCGGCGCAGAAGAUCCGGAGCCGCGCACAGGAGUCCCUGGCGCAGGCGAUCCCGAGGCAGAAUUGCCUGGUACCCACACCGGAUCCUCUGUGGCUUCAGCACGUGAUGACGAAGUUGUAUCAGCCGCAGAAGAUCCUGGCGCACCAGCCGGCUCAUCAUGAGCCGAUGAUUGUGCGGGGCCACGAGGAUCAGCAUCGAAGCCUGUGCCCUCCUGGCUAGUAGGGUCAGCGCUGGAUCCCGCGCCGGUCGGCCGUGCCUGGGCCCACCGCUUGUAGCAGUGCGGUUGGUCGGGGAAGCGCACACCGCCCGCUCCACUGGGACGCCGCCGCGUGGCAUCGGGCGAGCCGCCAGCCGAGAGCUGGUCCGCACGCGCGGCAGAUUCCGUCGCUGGCAGGUCUGGCGCGUCUGCCAGCGCUGAUCCCGGCGCGGAUCUUCUGGGCUGCAACUGGUUCGGCGCCGAUCCCAAGGGGGAUUUGUUCCCCAAAUCCGGACACAACCAAUAUGGCACUUGAGGGCCAUUUACUUCAUUUUCUUCGCUGAUUGUUCCUGCAACAUCACCAGAGUACUCGGUUGCACCACUAGGAGGGUUAGUCGGCAUUGAAUCAUCACAAGUAAUUCCCCCAUGAUCAAGGCCGGUGAGAGGAGGCAAGAGUAGAAUUUCUUUGCGAAGUAAGGCACCAGCGUUGGGAUGAAGCUCGGUGAAAGGAAACUUUGUUUCGUCAAAAACAACAUCACGGGAGAUAUAAACUCGCCCCGUGGACACAUCUAGGCACUUGACACCUUUGUGUUGGGAGCUAUACCCAAGAAAUACACAUUGCUUUGACCGAAACAUAAGUUUGUGUUGAUUGUACGGACGAAGAUUGGGCCAACAUGCACACCCAAAAACACGAAGAGACGUGUAGUCGGGUUUGGUGUGGAGUAGCCGUUCUACUGGAGUUUCAUUAUUGAUAACACGACUAGGAAGCAUGUUAAUGAUGUGAACUGCGGUGAGAAAGGCUUCAUCCCAGAAUUUCAAAGGCAUGGAGGCGCCAGCUAAAAGAGCUAGACCGACCUCAACAAUGUGCCUGUGCUUGCGUUCAGCAGAGCCGUUUUGUUGGUGAGCGUGGGGGCACGACACAUGGUGAGAGAUGCCGAGAGUUUGAAAGAAAGAGUUUAAUUUCUCAUACUCUCCGCCCCAGUCUGAUUGGAUAGCAAGUAUCUUGCUGUCAAAUUGGCGUUCAACGAGUGCUUGAAAGUUCUUAAAAACUUGAAAGACAUCAGAUCUUUUCUUAAGAAGAUAAAUCCAGGAAAAUUUACUGUAGUCAUCAAUGAAACUUACAUAGUACAUAUGUCUACCUACUGAGUUGGGGGCAGGACCCCAAACAUCUGAAAAAAUUAAUUGCAAUGGUUUGGUAGACACACUAGUGGAUAUAGGAUAGGGUAGCUGAUGACUCUUAGCUCGUUGACAGGAAUCACAAAUAGUUUCAAUAUUGCGGUCACCAACAAACAUGAGCUUAUUCUUCCUAAGUAAUUUUUCAACUAAAGAAAAAGACGCAUGUCCUAGACGAUCAUGCCAUCGUGUGGAUGAAAGCUUGAUAGCACCACAAGCUUGUUUAUUCAGUCUCCUAAGCUCCGGAAUCAACGGGUAGAGUCCACGAACGCAUCUACCUCGAUAGAGAAUUCUCUUCAUCACCUGAUCCUUGAUCAAAAAGAAGUAAGGGUGAAACUCAAAGAAGACAUGAUUAUCAAGAGCAAUUCUAUGGACAGAGAGAAGACUUUUGUCGGCAUUAGGAACAUGCAAAAUUUUCCUAAGAUGGAUUUUGCGAGAAGGGGUACUAAAACUUGAAUGACCAAUGUGACUAAUCUCCAUACCUUCACCACUAGCUGUGUGGAUUUGGUCCUUGCCGCGGUAUUUCUCCUUCAUGGUCACCUUCUCGAGCUCGUUGGUGAUGUGGUUAGUGGCGCCGCUGUCGACGUACCAGUUGGUGUUGAUUCCGUAGGAGCCAUCUGCAGCCGCCGCCACCUUGUCAUCAUCUUGAGAGGAAUCCUCGUCCUCUUCGUAGCGGUACCAGCAAUAUUUUGCUGUGUGCCCCAACUUGCCACAUAUCUGGCACCGAGGGGCAUCAGGACGUGCGCGAGUAUUGCCGCCCCCGCGGCGAGAUCUGUUGCUGGUGGGAGCACGCCCGCUGUUGCGGGAGUUGGAGCCGCCGCCGUUGCCGCCUCCAUUGGACCUCCCCCUACCACGGGAGAAGCCGCCAUGCCGAGAGGAGCCGCCACGUCCACGAGAGGCCGAGUUCGCGGAGGACUUGACGCCGCUGCCGCCGUUACCGUGGAAGUGCACCAUCCGCUGAUCGAAAUUGGAGCGCAUGGCGAAGAGCUCGUCGAUGGUGAUGGGGGUGACACGAGCAUCCAGAGCGGAGAUCAGCGGCUAGUAGUCGGCGUCGAGCCCGUGGAUGAUGUAUGAGAUGAGCUCAUCGUCGAGGAUUCCUUGCCCGCCGCGACCAACUCGUCGGCGUAGCCGCGCAUGGUGGCGAAGUAGGAGGCGACGGAGAGGUUGCCCUUCUGCGCAUUGAUGAGAGAGGUACGGAUGUUGUUGAUGCGACUCACCGAUUGCGACGAGUACAUGCCGGCGAGUGUCGUCCAGAGCGCGCCCGCGUUGGUGACCGUGGUCACCGUGAGGAGCACCUCCUUCGUGAGGUUGCUCAGCAGAUAGCCAAGGACCUGCUGGUCCUCCCGGACCCAGAUUGGGUGGAGAGGGUUGUGCGUUGAAGUCUCCUUGCCUUCUUUGUCGGUGGUGACGAGGAGCUUUGCCGGCUCCGGCUGGGUGCCGUCGACGUAGCCGAAGACCCCGGCGCCACGCAGUUGGGGUAUGAUCUGCGUGCGCCAUAGCACGUAGUUCGUGCGGGAUAGCUUCUCGGUGACCUGGCCAUUGAGACUAGGCUAGAAGGAAGCGCCAGAGGAGGAAGACAUGGUGUGGCUUCGGGACAGGUGGUUCUGGUAGCUAGAUGAGUUGAAGAAGAGGGGCUCUGAUUAACAUGUGCGAGCGGUAAACAUCUUGCUCUGUUGGGAGCGACGUGUUUCAUGUUAUAUAGUAGGGAGCCAAAACCCUAGAUGGCAUACAACAUGCGGUUACAAGAGAUAAGACUUGGGAGAGAAGAAAGGAGAAGAUGGUUACAUGAAUAUCUCAUACAAACUACCUCCUAGUCUAUAUCUCUAUCAUAUCUCGUGAUCAGUGGCGGAGCUACAAAAGAGAAGUUGGGCGGGCCAGAGAGCCCAAAUAAGCGAUGAUACUCGACCACGGUGGCGUGCGCCUUGGUGGCCGGCGGCUGUGUGCGCUGCCGGACACUAAGCACCUCCACUGAGUGCUUUUAUCGGGGAACUACCGAACAAAUGCUUCAGUGAGGCUGCUGCGUUCCUUCUCUGCAUGUACAUGUUGUGGGCUAGGCUUUAUAAAAAAUUGCUCCAUCCAUGGGCGGGCCAUGGCCCAUUGAGCCUUGUUGAAGCUCCGCCAGUGCUCGUGAUAAACAUGGCCCGACCCGCAUAUGUAUAAUGUGUUUGACAGUGCGGUCAGCAAGUAAACAAAAAAUCAUCAUGUGUUGAUGAGAUAAGCAGCAACAAUGAAGGAGAAUAAAUAAGCCAGGAUGGGUAACUUCUUCACGUCCUUCUUCACCCAAGUAACUUGAAACAAUCUUGGUACAAAAGUUAAAUUUUUGUGAAAGAAAAGGGUACUCCCAGAUUUCUUGAUGAAACAAUGGUUCAAUAGAGAAGCACCAGCAAGAAAACAAGGAUAAUUAAUUAAUAGGCAUGUAACUUAUGACAGGGUUCAUGCUAAUGAUGGCAUACUAGCUAGGAUGUGCAAUCAUAAAUAAAUUAGUAUAAAGCUUAUCUCACAAGUAGAGCACGUAUGCUUUAUGGCAGCAGUCUCAACAAGAUUCCGAGAGGCAUGCAACUAAAUUGAACUCUAGUGAAUUUAUUCUUGAGGCAGCAAGCAAGCAAAUGGAUGAAUUGGCAAACACUGCAGCGAUGUUUAUCUCAAUAUAAGCACUAGGGUGUGACAGCAAUAGCAGCAAGUUGAAUUCAGUCAAGCAUGUGAGUGGAUUCAGACCAGCAGCAAACCAAGCAAUUUGUUUCAGACUUCAAACAGGCAGAGUAUUUGUAGAGUUGAAUCACAUGAGAAAAACAGUGACCACCAUAGGCUGCCUAAGAAUGCUAGCUAAUCUGGACGGCCAUGAGUAAGAGCAGCCGCAAGCAAGCAAAUAGGAAGCAAGUAAGCACACGAGGUAACCCAAGCCAGCCUAGGAUUUCAAAACGAGAGAGGAGUGGAGGAGAAAAUCGACCUUGAGCUGCUACUGCUCCUCUCCAUGGACGGGCACAUCGCGUGAGUGGACUUCUCCUGCAGCACAUCACGAACAGGGCAGACAGAGAGGCAUGAGGAACCCACAUCCACAUCCGCGGCUGCCGGAUCGAAUCAAACAGAGAAGGGGGAGCACCUUGACCUCGAGUUGCUGGAGCGACGGCGCCGUG